UCCCUAUGGGGUGCAGCAGUCGCGAAAACUCCGCAAUGCACGAAAGUGUGACGGGGCUACCCCGAGUGCCAUCCGCUGAGGAUGGCUUUUCUUUGGUAUAACUAGCCAUUGGAAUAAGGAGAGGGCAAGACUGGUGUCAGCCGCCGCGGUAAUACCAGCUCUCCGAGUGGUAGGGAUGAUUAUUGGGCUUAAAGCGUCCGUAGCCGGCUUAGCAAGUCUCCUGUUAAACUCAGCGACCUAAUCGUUGACCCGCGGGAGAUACUACUAGGCUAGGAGGCGGGAGAGGUCGACGGUACUUCUGGGGUAGGGGUGAAAUCCUAUAAUCCCGGGAGGACCACCAGUGGCGAAGGCUGUCGACUAGAACGCGCUCGACGGUGAGGGACGAAAGCUGGGGGAGCGAACCGGAUUAGAUACCCGGGUAGUCCCAGCCGUAAACGAUGCGGGCUAGGUGUUGGGAUGGCUACGUGCCAUUUCAGUGCCGCAGGGAAGCCAUUAAGCCCGCCGCCUGGGGAGUACGGCCGCAAGGCUGAAACUUAAAGGAAUUGGCGGGGGAGCACCACAAGGCGUGAAGCUUGCGGUUCAAUUGGAGUCAACGCCGGGA
rnacentral:rRNA from 1 species